GACGGAGGAUGCAAGCGUUAUCCGGAAUUAUUGGGCGUAAAGCGUCCGUAGGCGGUUUCAAAAGUCUGUUGUUAAAGCCCACAGCUCAACUGUGGAUCGGCAAUGGAAACUGUGAGACUAGAGAGUGGUAGGGGUAGGGGGAAUUCCUAGUGUAGCGGUGAAAUGCGUAGAUAUUAGGAGGAACACCGAUGGCGAAGGCAGCUGCCUGGCCUAGAACUGACGCUGAGGUGCGAAAGCGUGGGGAGCGAACAGG
rnacentral:rRNA from 1 species